rnacentral:lncRNA from 12 species
UAGAACUGUUCUGGAGAAGAUAAUUACCUCUUACAUUGUAAACCUCAUACUUUUUUUUUUUCUAAUAAUCAUUGUUUAAAUACAUUUACUGCCUUAUUAAAAAUUAACCUUUGAGAAGCAUAAUUUACUAUAGAACACUUGCAUGUUUGGAAACCCAGAAGGUGGGGAAAUCUGCAAGCUAAUGAGUCUGAUUCUUCUCGGGUCUCGGCCACAGCCUCUCUCCUUUACCUGGCAGGUGUGGCUGACACGGCAGUUCCCUCCCCGGAGCACUGCCUGGGCCACCGCCUCCCUCCGAGCCGAAGCCCUGGAAGGUGACAGAACAUCUCCAG